UAAGUAUGCAGUGGAAGACUCAUUGAUUGUGAUGAUUGCUAAGGGACUAAGACCCAUUUUUCUUGGCCUUAUAUUGUGUGCAUCCCAUAGUCGUACGUUCUCUAUACUUAAUGAGUGAUUCGUGCCUUUGGAAAUAUAUAAACACUUGGGCCAUCACGAUGUUAUUUGAAAUGAGACUAUGCUUUGCAUCGGAAGUGAAUGGCAUCGUUAUCCUUCUUCAUUUUUUAUGCUUUCGUACAUUAAGGAAGUUCAAUGGAUAAAUGAAGGAUUCAGGGGUCUUCUCCCAUAUCCUUUUAAUUCAAGUUUGGGAGGCAUGACAACUACCCCACCUUAUUUCAAUGACAAGAACAAGGGUUCUCAUGGCCAAUAUGUGUCUAUUAAUGGGAUUUUCAAUGUCUUGCUUACCACGCUAAUCCUACUUCUGAUUGGAUUUGCAGCUUCAAGAUAUCAAACUCUACACCUUCUAUAUGGAGCUAGAUUUGCAAAAGCCAUAUCCAACUCGAGGAAGUGACUUAUUGACAUGGGAGAGAACUUAUUGGUAACCAAGGACUUUGUGAAGAUAGCAAAUUUUGGCCUUGCUUGUGAAGUUCAUUCGAAGACACCAUUAA